UACGUAGGUGGCGAGCGUUGUCCGGAAUUACUGGGCGUAAAGGGCGCGCAGGCGGAAGUACAAGUCAGAUGUGAAAACUCCGGGCUUAACUUGGAGACUGCAUUUGAAACUGUAUUUCUUGAGGACAGGAGAGGAAAGCGGAAUUCCUAGUGUAGCGGUGAAAUGCGUAGAUAUUGGGAGGAACACCAGUGGCGAAGGCGGCUUUCUGGACUGUAACUGACGCUGAGGCGCGAAAGCGUGGGGAGCAAACGGGAGUAGAUACCCCGGCAGUCCACGCCGUAAACGAUGGGUACUAGGUGUAGGAGGUAUCGACCCCUUCUGUGCCGGAGUUAACGCAAUAAGUACCCCGCCUGGGGAGUACGGCCGCAAGGCUGAA
rnacentral:rRNA from 1 species